rfam:Photobacterium damselae subsp. damselae CIP 102761 Contig55, whole genome shotgun sequence.
UCCAUCGUGAUGUGGAAUCUGAAGGAAGUAAAUGGCAAAACAUAGCUUUGACGAACAGAAACCAGAUAAACUUGGGUAACCUAGCAAUAGAUAGAACAAUCCAAAGACUCGAAUCAGUAAUGUUCCUGAGUUAGGCUACAUUAC